UACGAAGGGUGCAAGCGUUAAUCGGAAUUACUGGGCGUAAAGGGUGCGUAGGCGGUUCGUUAAGUCUGUCGUGAAAUCCCCGGGCUCAACCUGGGAAUGGCGAUGGAUACUGGCGAGCUAGAGUGUGUCAGAGGAUGGUGGAAUUCCCGGUGUAGCGGUGAAAUGCGUAGAGAUCGGGAGGAACAUCAGUGGCGAAGGCGGCCAUCUGGGACAACACUGACGCUGAGGAGCGAAAGCAUGGGGAGCGAACAGG
rnacentral:rRNA from 1 species